GACGAACGCUGGCGGCGUGCUUAACACAUGCAAGUCGAACGGGAAGGCCCUGCUUUUGUGGGGUGCUCGAGUGGCGAACGGGUGAGUAACACGUGAGUAACCUGCCCUUGACUUUGGGAUAACUUCAGGAAACUGGGGCUAAUACCGGAUAGGAGCUCCUGCUGCAUGGUGGGGGUUGGAAAGUUUCGGCGGUUGGGGAUGGACUCGCGGCUUAUCAGCUUGUUGGUGGGGUAGUGGCUUACCAAGGCUUUGACGGGUAGCCGGCCUGAGAGGGUGACCGGCCACAUUGGGACUGAGAUACGGCCCAGACUCCUACGGGAGGCAGCAGUGGGGAAUAUUGCACAAUGGGCGGAAGCCUGAUGCAGCAACGCCGCGUGCGGGAUGACGGCCUUCGGGUUGUAAACCGCUUUCGCCUGUGACGAAGCGUGAGUGACGGUAAUGGGUAAAGAAGCACCGGCUAACUACGUGCCAGCAGCCGCGGUGAUACGUAGGGUGCGAGCGUUGUCCGGAUUUAUUGGGCGUAAAGGGCUCGUAGGUGGUUGAUCGCGUCGGAAGUGUAAUCUUGGGGCUUAACCCUGAGCGUGCUUUCGAUACGGGUUGACUUGAGGAAGGUAGGGGAGAAUGGAAUUCCUGGUGGAGCGGUGGAAUGCGCAGAUAUCAGGAGGAACACCAGUGGCGAAGGCGGUUCUCUGGGCCUUUCCUGACGCUGAGGAGCGAAAGCGUGGGGAGCGAACAGGCUUAGAUACCCUGGUAGUCCACGCUGUAAACGGUGGGUACUAGGUGUGGGGUCCAUUCCACGGGUUCCGUGCCGUAGCUAACGCUUUAAGUACCCCGCCUGGGGAGUACGGCCGCAAGGCUAAAACUCAAAGGAAUUGACGGGGCCCCGCACAAGCGGCGGAGCAUGCGGAUUAAUUCGAUGCAACGCGUAGAACCUUACCUGGGUUUGACAUGGAUCGGGAGUGCUCAGAGAUGGGUGUGCCUCUUUUGGGGUCGGUUCACAGGUGGUGCAUGGCUGUCGUCAGCUCGUGUCGUGAGAUGUUGGGUUAAGUCCCGCAACGAGCGCAACCCUUGUUCACUGUUGCCAGCACGUUAUGGUGGGGACUCAGUGGAGACCGCCGGGGUCAACUCGGAGGAAGGUGGGGAUGACGUCAAGUCAUCAUGCCCCUUAUGUCCAGGGCUUCACGCAUGCUACAAUGGCUGGUACAGAGAGUGGCGAGCCUGUGAGGGUGAGCGAAUCUCGGAAAGCCGGUCUCAGUUCGGAUUGGGGUCUGCAACUCGACCUCAUGAAGUCGGAGUCGCUAGUAAUCGCAGAUCAGCAACGCUGCGGUGAAUACGUUCCCGGGGCUUGUACACACCGCCCGUCAAGUCAUGAAAGUUGGUAACACCCGAAGCCGGUGGCCUAACCGUUGUGGGGGAGCCGUCGAAGGUGGGACUGGUGAUUAGG
rnacentral:rRNA from 1 species